rnacentral:lncRNA from 10 species
CUAACAGAUGCAGGUACCUUGAUGUUGAACUUCUCAGCCCUCAAAACUAGCUGUUGUGAGGAUCAAAUAACAGUAAAUGUGAAAGAAGUUUAUAAAUUGCUGAGUGCAAUAUAAGGUUUACCCUUCCCUGUAUUGAGCUCUAUGGAAGAUGUUAUUGUUAAGAUGAUCAACAGAAGCAUUCACAACCGAUAAAUCCUCCCCAAGAAGCCCAGUCCAUAUGUGAGAGCACAUGUUGAGCUCAAGACUUCAUACGUAGAGGCUUGACAGUUAAGGAUAACUGUGGUAGGGGCUGGGCAUGGUGGCUCAUGCUUAUAAUCCCAGUGCUUUGAGGGGCUGAGGCUGGAAGAUUGCUUAAGCCCAGGAGUUCAAGACCAGUCUGGGCAACAGAGCAAGACCCUGUCUUCACAAAAACUUAAAAAAUUAGCUGAAAUUAGUACAUGCCUAAUUUAUACUAAAAUUUAUGCCUAAUUUGUACUAAAAAUUAGUACAUGCCUGUAAUCCCAACUACUCAGGAGGCUGAGGCAGGAGGAUGGACUGAACCUAGAAGUUUGAAGCUGCAGUGAGCCAUGACUGCACUCCAGCCCAGGUUACAGUGCAAGACGCUGUCUCUGGGAAAAAAAAAAAAUAGGAGGCAGAAACUUCAAGAAAUUGGUAAACUGACAAAAAUCCACUGAAAGUGGUUAUAGAGAAUAUUCCAAUAGAUGUAUAUGUGUUCAGUGUUUUUUAUUAAAUCUUAAAUCCUGCUGAUUUCUAAUAAACAAGCUGAUUGGACUUGUAAAAAGCUUUGAUCAUGAAAUAAAUUGCAGUUUUAUUAUGAAGAAACAGAACAAUUCAAAUUAGGAUGAUAAAUGUUAUUUAAAAUAGAAUCUUAGAGAACCACAGUAAUGCACAGAUGAGAAUUAUUUGCAAUUAGGAUAUUGUUUAUUUGUAUACAAAAACACUUCAGGACACUUAGAAAUUGCUCCUUCUCCCCUUGAAAUCCAUCUAAUAUGUUUACACUGUUAAUUACAUUUCUUAUGGGGGAAAAAGGAUUUGGAGUAUUUCCUUGUUUUGUUUGUUUGUUAAAUAAAAUUUUGCCUUCCUCCUUCCUUCCCCUUUUCAUGGCCUCUGAAAUAAUAAGACUUACUAAACUGAGAAUUAGAGAGCCCUUGUUAUGGGUUGAAUUAUAUUCCCCCUGCCCCCAUUUGUAUGUUGAAGUUCUAACAUCUAGUACCUCAGAAUAUGACCUGAUUUGGAGAUAGGACAUUUACCGAAUAAUCACAUUAAAAUGAGCUCAUUAGGUGAGCCCUCAUCCGUAAUGACUGGUGCCCCAAUAAAAAGGAGAAAUCUGGGGACAGACAUGCACCAAAGAAGAACUCCAUGUGAAAUCCAGAGCAGAGAUGGGGUGAUAUGUCUACAAGUCAACGAACAGCAGAGUGUCAGCAAACCACCAGAAGCCAAGAAGGCAUGGAACAGAUUCUUCCUCACAGCCCUCAAAAGGAACCAACCUUGAUGACACCUUGAUCUCAGACUUCUUGCCUUUAGAACUGUGAGACAAUAAAUUUCUGUUAUUAAACCACCCAGUUUGUGGUACUUCAUUACCGCAGCCCUAGCAAACUAAUACAGCUC